GGGGAUAACAGUUGGAAACGACCGCUAAUACCGCAUAACCCGCUAGUAUCGCAUGAUACGGACGGAAAAGAUUUAUCGGUAUGAGAUGGACCCGCGUCUGAUUAGCCAGUUGGCAGGGUAACGGCCUACCAAAGCAACGAUCAGUAGCCGGCCUGAGAGGGUGAACGGCCACAUUGGGACUGAGACACGGCCCAAACUCCUACGGGAGGCAGCAGUGGGGAAUAUUGCACAAUGGGGGAGACCCUGAUGCAGCGACGCCGCGUGAGUGAGGAAGUAUUUCGGUAUGUAAAGCUCUAUCAGCAGGGAAGAAAAUGACGGUACCUGACUAAGAAGCCCCGGCUAACUACGUGCCAGCAGCCGCGGUAAUACGUAGGGGGCAAGCGUUAUCCGGAUUUACUGGGUGUAAAGGGAGCGUAGACGGUUAAUCAAGUCAGAAGUGAAAACCCAGGGCUCAACCUUGGGACUGCUUUUGAAACUGAGUAGCUAGAGUGCAGGAGAGGUAAGCGGAAUUCCUAGUGUAGCGGUGAAAUGCGUAGAUAUUAGGAGGAACACCAGUGGCGAAGGCGGCUUACUGGACUGUAACUGACGUUGAGGCUCGAAAGCGUGGGGAGCAAACAGGAUUAGAUACCCUGGUAGUCCACGCCGUAAACGAUGAA
rnacentral:rRNA from 1 species